GAUGAACGCUAGCUACAGGCUUAACACAUGCAAGUCGAGGGGAAACGGGAGGAUAGCUUGCUAUCUUCGCCGUCGACCGGCGCACGGGUGAGUAACGCGUAUCCAACCUGCCAUCCAGCGGAGGAUAGCCUUUCGAAAGAAAGGAUAAUACUCCAUGACCUCCUCAGAGGACAUCUGACGAGGAGCAAAGAUUUAUCGCCGGUUGAUGGGGAUGCGUCUGAUUAGGCAGUUGGCGGGGUAACGGCCCACCAAACCGACGAUCAGUAGGGGUUCUUGGAGGAAGGUCCCCCAGAUUGGAACUGAGACACGGUCCAAACUCCUACGGGAGGCAGCAGUGAGUAAGAUUGGUCAAUGGACGUAAGUCUGAACCAGCCAAGUAGUGUGCAGGAUGACGGCCCUAUGGGUUGUAAACUGCUUUUAUGCGGGGGUGAAGUGAGUGACGUGUCAUUCAUUGCAAGUACCGCAAGAAUAAGGACCGGCUAAUUCCGUGCCAGCAGCCGCCGUAA
rnacentral:rRNA from 1 species